rnacentral:lncRNA from 1 species
GUAACCGUCUAGACGAGAGCGCGUGCUGGGCGUGUUGUCAAAGCACAGGUGCGCACCGCUCGCUCCGCCUGUUCGUGGGACGUCAGAUUCUCGACAGAAAACUGCGGAAGCAAUACGUGGAAAAACUAUUUUAUGCUAUCAGCGUUUCAUUCCACCUGUUGCGAUUUCUUUAUGACGAUUCCUCUUCCUGGUAAUCGAAGUAAAGCAACUGAGGAAAUGUCUUUUGAAGGAAGCAUGUGUAUCUGCCUCUGAAACACAAUGGAAACUCCCUGCCUCCUGUGGGACACCAGAGAACAAACUGCUCACUGGCAAAAGUGUAGCUACAAAAACGACAACAGAAUUGAGGUCAAUAGGGAUAAAGCAUGGUAGCCCUGCUGAUCCUGCUAUAGCUCGAUAGAACAAGUAGAUGCACAGUAGACAGAACAGUAGUAGACUCUCAGGUGGAAUUGGAUUGCGUCGCUGUGUGUAGUGGGGGAGUGUAUGUUGGACCGUUAUGGUGAAGAUGGUUUUCAGAGUUGUGAAGGCUUUGACGAUUGGUCCACGUUCAGCUCUGCGGACUGGACAGAACCCCAGCAACAUGGCAAUGGGUUUUCAGACUGGGGUGCAUUCCAGGACAAUACCAGCAAAGAGGAAUCAACAACCCUACCUGUGGCAGAAGCAGGAACUUCCCAGUUUCCUGAAAACACUGAAAAUGGUGAAAAGGGGAAUCCCUGGUUCAUUUUUAAUGACUGCUUUCAAGUUGAGGGGGCAGAGAAAGACCCUGUCGUGAUGGAAAUCCCUACAUUGUCUGUGCUACAGCAGAGCACAUUAGACAAGCCCUCUCAGUCUGCAGCAAUAUCAAGCAAAGCUGCAAAUUUCUGGUGUCAUCUACAGUCUGGGUCCAAAAUUCUCAGACUAUCAGGUCCCAAACCCAAACUACACUCCCAUGAAGGACUGCUCAAAGCCCUCCAGCUCGGACAGCCUGACGGAAGUGCUGACUCACAGCCGAUGCCAUCACAAUGUCAGAACGCACCAGGAUUCUUUUAUCAGAUCUCACGCCAGUGGCUCAGCCAGCACAACAUGAACCUCCUGCCCUACCAGAACAAGAAAGAUCCUCUGCAAUAAUCAACAUCACAUGCACACACACUCUUACAGUUGCACUGACACACACUACUUCAGAAAAUUGAACUUUUAAACAAAGUACGCACUACUGCCUGCAUUCAUUAAUGUGUACGGAAACAAGCACAGGUAAAGUUUUCCAAGCACUUUUUAUAAAUAAAUCCAAGCCUAUUAAAAACUGUGCUUGACAAAAGUACUACUACUGUAUGCACACUAGCUCAGGAAGGAAUUCCUAAGUUACUUGAUGAACACACUUUGCCACAGAUUAAACAUAAAAAGGAGUCUUUUCACAUAAGCAACAGAAGAGAACUAACAAGUGCCUAAAAAAACAAAAUCACUGUAAACCUCAAGUACAGGAAGUUAACGCAGCCAUUUACUUAUUUAUAUAUUCCACUGUCUGCUGCUGCUGCCUAAGCUCAUGGCUUACUGUUUGAACUGACAUCUGAAAUGUUUAAAUGUAUUUGGUAUAUUUAUAUUGGAAAUAUUUAAUAUUUUAAAGAUGAAUAUAUGAAUAUACAGUUCUAUUAGUUGGUGCCCUGCACUUUAGAGCAGUUUGUCUUUUUUUUUAAAAAGCAAUAAAAAGAGACGUUUAAAGCUCUUCAAC